UAAAACGAAGUAGAAAAUCUAUUUAUUAAACCAGCCGAGGUUACUGUGGAAAACUGGACGAGCUAGACGACGAAGACAUCUAUCUCAUCUUCCCAGAAACCUAAGGCCAAAACCCUAACCUAAAUCAUCGACAAUGGCGCCAGUGAAGAGAUGCCUAUACGAGGUUCUAGGUUUGAGCAGAGACUGCUCCCCUGAAGAAAUCCGAUCCGCGUACAAGAAAUUAGCUCUUCAACGCCACCCUGACAAGCUCAUCCAGACCGGAGUCCCCGAGGAAGAAGCCACCGCCGCUUUUCAGGAGCUCGUUAAUGCCUACGAGGUCCUCUCCGAUCCUCGUGAACGCACCUGGUACGAUUCCCACCGUUCCCAGAUCCUUUUCUCCGAUGCAAAGUCAUCUAAACCUUCCUCUUCCCAAAUUCCCGAUCUUUUCUCCUUCUUCUCUAAUUCUGUCUUCUCCGGUUUCGGAGAUACUGGGAAGGGUUUUUUCAAGGUUUACGGUGAUCUCUUCGGUAAACUGUACGCUUUCGAGGUCUCGUUUGCUCAGAAGCUAGGGUUAGGGCAAGGGGUUGUCAGGGACGCCCCUUUGAUGGGAAAUCUGGAGAGCCCUUAUGCUCAGGUUUCUGCUUUCUAUAAUUAUUGGUUGGGGUUCGUUACUGUGUUGGAUUUUUGUUGGGUUGAUGAAUACGAUGUCUUGGCUGGUCCGAAUCGGAAGUCUCGGAGGCUCAUGGAGGAGGAGAACAAGAAGUUCAGGAAAAAGGCGAGGAAAGAGUACAACGAUACUGUUCGUGGGUUGGCUGAGUUUGUGAAGAAGAGGGAUAAACGAGUGAUUGAUAUGCAGAUGAAGAGGAAUCAGGAGCAGGAGAAGAGGAGGGAAGAGGAGAGGAUUCGAAAGAAAGAAGCCCAGCAAGCUAAGUUGGCAAAAGCGAGGCUUUAUGAGGAGCCCGAAUGGGCAAAAGUUGAUGAGGAGGAACUUGAGAAUGCGUUCGAUGAGCCGGAGGAUGAUGAGAAACAGAACAAUACGAAGGAGCUGUACUGUGUUGUUUGUAGUAAAAAGUUUAAAUCUGAGAAGCAGUGGAAGAAUCAUGAGCAGUCGAAGAAGCACAGAGAAAAAGUUGCAGAGCUUAAGGAGUCAUUUGAUGCUGAAGAUGAAUUAGAUAUUGAUGAUAAUGGUGAUGACAGUGACAAUAAUGAGAAGGGACCAUUGGAGAGUGAUGCGGUUGAAACCCAUGAGGAUUUCCCUGAGGAAGAGAGUAUGGCCGAGUUACAAGAGCAAUUCAAAGAUGGUCUUGGUUUUCAGGAAGAAGAAACUGAGGUUAGAAAUCCUUCCAGCCCUGACAAAGGGAGUAAGGUUUCUGAUAUUAGUGACCAGGAUGAGGUCGGUCCAUCAUUUGGCUCUGAUGAAGAAACAAGUACUCUUGAAGCGAUGGUGUCAGGACACAUCAAGAACAGAAAGAAUGCAGCCAGAAGGCAUGAACCAAACUCCUGUUCUGAUGAAGGUAAUGCUAGCUAUGAUGGUGAAGAAACUGACUUUAUGGAUUACAAUCCUCGAAAAACCACUCGGAGGAGUAGAACAGCAAAGGGAGAGGGUGACAAAAAACCUAAAGGUGAUGUUGCAAAGGCAGAAUUGAGUGAAACCACUGAGGGAGAAAUCCCUAUAACUAACGGUAGCAACAUUGAGAGUGAAGAAGGUAAUGAAGAUGGGAAUGGACAUAUGCAGGAUUCCUUGUCCCAUCCGGCUGAGUUUACUGGCACCGAUGGUAAAGGAGAUAAACCACUUGGCAAAGAUCAUAAAGUUUUAAACCAGACAGUGGGCGGAAAAGGUGUAGGAAGGAAAGAUACAAAUGCCAAAUCAAAAAAUUCGUCCAAAGGGAAAAAACAGAAGCCAACAUCAAAAAAAUCGGGCAACACAUGUGAGACAUGUGGCGAGAAUUUUGAGUCCAGGACUAAGCUGCAUAAGCAUCUAGGUGACACUGGUCAUGCUACAUUGAAACUACGGUAGAAUACAUUUUUGAUAAGAAACAUGAGAGAAUGGAUAGUUUUGAGAGCUAAAGGAUUGAUCAAGAUUGUCAGAAGAGAGCUGAACUGGCUUCCAAAGUUUUUCCAGAGUUUGAAUUUUUUUUUUUCUCCCUUUUUGGGAAUACAUUGAAUAGCCGGUAAGCCAAAAUCAGAGAUGAAUACAGAGGCAGAUAAGCCGUUCUACUUCACAAAACUAAAGUUGAUGACCUGCAUAUUAUGUUCCGCUACUUGCACAACGUACAUAUCUUAACAGAACGUAUGUCAGUGAACUAGGUUCAAGCAUUUCCAUGAGUUUGUGGAUUUAAGUGCAUCUCUUAGCGACAAAACGAAGUGUGAAAGAGUUCCUGUCUGAAUACCAGUUUCUAUAUGUCGAGAUUUGGAUUGUAAAACAUUUGUUGCCAUGUAUUGCACUCUUCAUGUAGCAGACCCGGUUUAGGUGUGAUUUUACUCAGGAAAUGAGGGAAAAGAAAAUUGAUGUUAGGGUCCAUAUAUUGAGGCCAAUAGAGCUGCUGAUGCAGCUCUUCUCUUGCAUUGCUUGGAGGGAGGUGAGGUGAUGCCAGACUUUCUUCCUACCUUGGGCUACUAAUGGACAUCUAUCGUGAAUGUGAUGGGGAGAGAGGUGGGAGUGCAAACGAUUCAUCUUUAUGUGGUUACUUCAUUGACUUGUGGGAGAGUAUCUUUUAUUUGGCCAAAGAGACCGUAGUAGAUCAAGUGUUUUUGACUGUUUUGGUUUUCAGAGAGGAUGGCAGAGGUUCAAUCUGAAAAACUUAAGAUUUGUUGAAAUGGCGAUAGUCAGCUUGAUUAA